UGACCCGUGGUGGCCCUGUGGAAACAGGAGGGGCUGUGGGUGGCACAGGCUGGGACCGGGCUGCCCGUGCCAGGGGAAAAUCCUCCUAGGGAAUUAGCAGAGCUUGCACUCAGAUUCUUCUAAUUUCUGUCAAAUCAGGCAGCCCUUUAAAUCUUGCUGGGGAACGCUGCUUGAGAUCUGCUAAUGGAAAAAACUCCCACCGAGGCACGGGAUUCUGGAGCUGGGACUGGAGCUGCGGGCGGGUUCCUCUGACAGUCACAUUCUUCAGAUUCCCUUGUAAGCUCCUUAGGAAGGGCCACGCCAGCUGUUGAAGAAUGAAGAUUACAACGUCCUGCUAACGCAGUGCUGGGGAUAUUUAAGAUGAUGCUGCUUCCAGUGCUGGCCAUGGACACCCAGCUGGAGCUUCUCCAGAAGUGCUCCCAGUGCUCCUGUUUGGGUCCAGGACACAUCACACACCGUGUCAGAUCUCACUCUGCCUGAUAAAAAACCAUCCUUGCUCCGGGAAGUGUUCCCUGGGGUUCUCUCAAGAGGCAACAAGCAAUUACAGGCUUUUGUAACUGACUCAGCAGCAACCAAAGAGGGCAAGCAGGACCUGGAAUUCUCUGUGUGAAGCAGACGGAAAGUGGCUGACAGCUUUGGGGCAGCAAGGUUUCCUCUGUGAGGCCACUUCAGACAUCUCCUUCUGAAGCUUUUAGAGCCUGAAUGUUGGAUUUGAAGCCAGAAGUACAGAGUUAAUAGUGUUUAGCCGGUUGCCUGUCACUCCCUCUAAGCAAAUAAGCAAAUACAAACCCAUCUCCCAUCUCAAGCUGUAAAACCCCACGUCAGGGAAAGGCCACUGAUGGCUGUGCAGAGUAUGAGCUUAUCAAGAAUAAUUAGUUGUCAUAAAAAUUUGCUCUUCCCCACGCAACAAGAGCAAUUUUGCACAAUGGGCACUUCAGCACUGCUCCUAAAAACAGCCUCUGGUCCUGCAUGUCAGCCUGUGGAAGCCCCUGGCCAUGCCCUGAACAUGCCUGGGGCGAUGCCCUGCACUGUGGAAACACACAUUUCAACAGCUGAAAGACAAAACUAAAAAUAAAACAGCCCAAUAACUCACUUGCUU